AUUAAAACAUGAAUUUAAAUUAAAUUGCAAACAAGAGGAGGACAAGACGUCUGGAUAAAAAUGGAAGAGUUAUCGGGAACAGCUCAGUGAGGAAUUCUGGCUGGGGGCGGAAGCAUUAAAAACAAAACCACAAACCAGUGGGUGCUGAAGUCAUCCAAGCAUAGGCUUUCCAACAGCCCAGGACCUAAUCAAGGAGCCUUUGCUCAGGAGAGGUCAUCAAGAGCCCAUCUAACAGUAAGUCCUGUGUACACCCAUUUCCAUCCAGCUGCUGACAGAGAUGAGGCAGGACAGGCAGUGACUUGGAGCUCCUCUGAUGUCAGGCAACCAUCCUGAUGCGCAUCUAAGAUUCCUUUCAACUGGAGCUGCCUCAGCUGUCACCCAAAUACUGCUGUGGAGGAAGAUAAACUUCUGAAUUUGCAGGGUUUCCUUU